UGUCAUCAAAAUUUGCAUUUUUGAGAUCAUUUAUAGUGUUUUCAGAUAUGAUAUUACAAAGUCUGAUUUUUAGGCCAAUUUGGGCUCUCCUAAUCCUACUCCUUUAUUAUUUUUUGUUAAAAAUUAUUACAUGAUAAAAUUUGUAUUGAAUUUUGAAAUUUUAAAUAAUUUUACCAAAGGACAUUAAUUGUAGAAAAUGCAUACAUGUACCUAUAUGGUUCAGUAAAAUUCAUAUCUGCCAACUUUUCAAAAUCUCCUUGGUUAAUUUUAAGUACAAGAUGACCUAAUGGCUAAUGCUCCUCUUACAUUUACAUUAUAUAUUGUCAUAAGUGUUUUUAAUCUACUACUGUAUUGUUUGAAUGAGUAUGUGUGUUCUUAAAUUUUGAAUGCCUGUUUUUGGGUGUUCAGUUUGCAUGAUUAAGAUUUUCAAAAUUUAACCUUAGUUUAUCUAAAAUUUGUUUGGAUUAAAGAACUAUUUAGUGACCUCAUUUUGAAUAAGUGUGUUAUCUUAAUUUUUGAAAUCAAUUUUUAUUGUUGAAUUGUCUUUCAGAAAUGCUCUACCAGUAUUUGAAGUGCCAGGGCCCAGGUUCCAAACUAGAACAUAAGAACCAGUUCUCUAAUGUCUGAGGCAUUGCACUUUUAAUAAGGUCUGGCAUUCCACCUAGACCUAUACCUGAUAAUGAGAGAAAACACCAGAAACUAUUUCCUAAGGAAAAUGUAUAAACUAGUGAAUUGUUGGUUUAAUCUACCAGGAUGUAAUGUUAUCAAGUAAUGAACAAAAGAAGUAACAUGAAGUUAGACAAUACAACUUGAGGUGCUAGAUUGUGUGCAAUUGUUAUUUGGAGAUAUAUAGAUGAUCAUAGAUGGAUUUUGUCAAAAUGUGAACUGUUACACAGGAAUUAAAUAUAUUAUUUUGUAGAAAAGAUCCAGUUGUGUUCCAUAAUUCCCAAAAAUGGUGAAUGUAAGAAUUAAAUUUUCAUAUCUA